UCAAAGCCUGCAGGUGGGGCAAGAGGAGAACAGAAGCAAGAGAAGCAGAGAAGACAAUGCAUAAAUAAACACAUAAUUUUAUUUCAUCACGUAAGAGAACAGAGAAUGAAGAGCUUCUGCCAUACCCAGGACAUUCUAUCCACAGUUGUUGGAAAUGGUGGAGACAGCAACUCAUGCAGAGAAUGUUCACGUGGGCUGAAGGUCACUUUGCUUGUCCUGAGGUUGACAAUUCUUUCUGGAAUCUGUGCUAUGCUAUAAACUGCCCAGCAUGCAGGUAAUGACAAGGUGACAAGAGACAAUUUUUGCCUGCAACAAUUCCUACUUUGCAUCUCUAGACUGCGCUGCAAAUUCACCUUGCACUCCUGUCCUUGUUCAAAUCUCUCUCAAUACUUUCAGACACAAAGAGCAGGGCUGAAGAGAGCGAGCUACAGCAUCCUGUCAGCCACACCCUGCACACACCCAGGGGACAGAAGGGAGGGGCAGGAUGUCAAAGGGACCAGAACCCCCAAGUGUGAGGGGCAAGGAGAACACUGACUCCAGUUCAAAUAUUCAGCACAGAAAUCCACCAGCAUUGUCCCACACUGGGAGACUGUGACAGCCACAUCUGUUCACUGCAGAUCCCCAGAGUCACUGUAUCAGCUGUGCAGUUUAAGCACGGCAGGAAUGAGAGCCACUCCCAGCUCUGCCAAGGAUUUCCUUUUGUGAUGCUGAGUAACUGACAGUAGCAUCGUGUCCUGACUUCCUCAUCCAUAGGAUUAGGAUUUAUGCAUCUACCCACAUCAAAAAGAGGGUCUUAGGCAAGAAUUCCAUCACUCCAAGUUGCUGCACAACUUGAAGCAAUUUUUACCUAUCUUCCUUCACUAAGUGUAGCAUGACACACUGCAUCAAUGAGGGCAGAGUAUGCCAAGCAUCUGCUUACAGGACUGGCCAGACACACCAUCUCAACGUGGUGUUCAGAUUAUGUGAACAAAAAACUAAACCCCUCAAGUGCCUUGGUGAGUGCAGGAUGGCACAAGCAAUUUCUGGUCAACGUGACUCAUCUGCAGUCACUGUAGCUGGUCUGGUGGCCUUUGGGAUGUUUGCAGUAAGUAAGGUUCAGCAAGCAUUACCUAGGAGAGAAUUUCUAGAAAAACAUGACAUCAAAGAAAGCAUGAAGUUGUGAAGAAGCCUGGGCAAAGAGGGAAUUUCAAGCUUGUUUUGAACAGAAGAAUUUUUAUUAUUUGUACACAUGAAAAGAAUGUUUUUCACAUGACAAGAUGCUGUCCUAGAACUGUAGCAUAAUUCAAAGCAAGUUUUCCACUAGCAAGACAGGAAACCUCUAAACACAAAUCACUUCCUCUCUUCAGUAUCUUCUCUUCAAAAUCACCCAUCUCUCAUGCACAUGUCUGAGAUUAUAGUAUUUUAGACAUCUUGGAGCAAUGCUAUCCUAUCCAGUGGAUAUCCUAUAAUUUUUUUUUUUAAUUAUUAUUCCCUGUUGCUAAAGGCUUCCUGAAAUAAAAGCCUUGAUCUUAAGCAUAACUAUUUCUCCACAUUCUUCAUACCAGUUAUGGCUGUGUGCCUAUGUGAGUCAAGAUCUCAGAACUCAACCCUUUAAACCCUGUAUAACACUGCCUAUAAACACAGGCGGUGUUAACCCCCUGGCUGUACAGGGGGUACGAACCCCACCGAAUGCAAGGAGAUGCAAUCAGCUAAGGUUUGUUCCAUACCAAAAAUCUGAUCUAUGCAUGAGGAUCCAUGAGCUGGCUCAUACUUUCCAUGCUCAGCCUCUCAUGUGCAUCCCAGCACGCCUGGAUCCUUCUCCAGUGACUGGAUACUUAACCUGCUCCACAUCCAUGCCUCGUUCUAAUGCCACCACUUGCCUGCUACACAUGACACCCUAUAGAUACGUGCAAGCUACAACAGAUGGCAACCCCCAAAGGCAUCCUGCCAAUCCAUACCGCUGCCUUUCCUCUUCUCCGAUGUCUCCUCCUUGUGCUGGGAUCACUGCCCUCUAUAUUGAAUGCUGAGGAAAAACUAUCGUUACUUAAUCCAUGAAGCAUGAGCAGUUGUACGUACAGCUUUUCUCCAUUCCUUGAGUAAGUCUGUGAUUAUCUGACUCCAAUACGACCUUCAUAUCACCCUUCUCCCCUGCCACUUCACAAGGUGAAUUGGCAACCUAAGAACUUCUCAAGAAAAAGCACUGCUGAUAAGCGCCCAGUGUUCCUUUCCUGAACAGUAGUACUUAAAAAUCUCUUACGAUAGCCUACUGGAAUUUUGACACUUUUAUCUUUUAAGGAAGCUUUGCUGAAAUGUAAAUCAGAUCAGCAGAAGAGAUGAAGGCAGGUUCAUUAACAGAUAAUAUUCAUACAGAACAUUUUCUGCUUCUGUAUCUGAGCUCACGCUUGCCUGUGGUUCAACAGGAUGCAAUUGUUCAGCCAGUCUUCUGUUUAGGAGUAGUACCCAGCUGUAAUUUCGGCACACUUGGAAACAGCCCCACACUCUUACUCUGUCCUGUUAUUUAAAUGCAGUCUGUGAUGUGCCCUUUCUGUCAGUCUGUACGCUCCCUUUUGGCUGGACACACUUCCUUCAGCACCUCGCUGUGUGUGAAUACUGAGAUGCUCCAACCCUCUAACCUCUGCUUCCCUCCUGCAGACCCAGCUGCAUUCCAGUCACGCACCUCCCACCCGCUCUCUGUCAUUACCUCUCUCCAUGCAUGAAAGCCUCUCCUUUUUCCUACUUACUGAUGUAAGAGCAUCUCAAAAAUGCCUUCACCUUCUCUCUUCAAUAAUGCCCAGCAUUUUCCCUACCAACCACCAGUACCUUCCUGCUUUGAGGCACAACUCCUUAGCCAGGUGGUGGAUGAUUCCCAUCUCACUCCACACACCCUCCUUUCCAACUACAUUUAUGCCUCUGCCCUAUUGGCAUCUGUCUUAAACACAGUCAGUGAGUGCUGCACACCACACACAGCUCUGUCCUCCCUCCUGCCUGCUCCUCCUCUCAGCACUGCAGCUCUUCUGGGUCAGCCUGGGUAUGCCAGGGAAAGGCAGGAGGAGUUGCCAAAGCCAAGUACCAAGAAUGCCCCUCAUGGAGGCUGCUCAUUAGCAGGGAUGAGAACCUAAUAACGAGAAAGUUACUGCUGCACUGGAGGGUUUUUCCUCUCUGACAGCAAGCUGACACUUUUCAUAAGCAUUAUAGUGCCUUAAAAAGAAACAAACAACUUUUGUAUUUUCUCCAUCUGCCUCCUGUCCUAAUGAAUCCAGCUCUGCUAUUUAUAGGAUGUAAUUUGUCUGAAUUAUUAUAAAUUUCCUUCCAGUGUUGCAUGAAGGCCUUGCACGUUUUUCCAUGAAGCGCUUCAAGCACGUUCCUGGGAAGCACAGCUGGUCUCACCUCCAUUAAGCACCUGCUUCUUUUCAAAACUGAUUUCCUUAAUUUCAAGAUCAUCUUAAUUAUUUUUUCAGGUAAUGCUACUUUUAUGCAAUAUACAGCUAACUCCUUACUCCCAUUUAAAAAUGGAUAGAAUAAAUGAGAAAAGAGAGUAAUUAGUGAUAGAGAAUACAUCAAACAAGAAAAACAUCCACUGUUUUUCUUUUUUCUUUAAAAAGCUGUUUUAAUUAUAGCCCAGAUUCAGCAUUGUCCUUAAAAAGAUAAUCUUCCUGGAAUAAAUGAGAUUUUUCCAUUGGUUAUGGAUUUGUGCUGAGUUGCAAUCUACCACUGUUUCCUCCUGGAAAAGCAUGGAGAUAAGUAAUUUAUUGCUUUUUUCAUCGCAGAAAGCAAAGUAAACAAGUUCACUCUAUUUGUUUUCGGCUUUCAGAGAAACAGAGAAAUGCCUAGGACACUGAUGUCACUGUGAGCAUCAGACCUUUUGCAGUGUGUAAGCAUUCCCCCAGCUAACAACAACAUGAACAUGUCACAGAGGAGUAUCUUUAUAUUAGAGUCAUCUUCUCCAACACACUGCAGUCUCAUCUUUCUGAGAAAUAGGAAGAUGAGCUUUUUUGCAGCAGAGUUGCUCAAAAUUGGCAAAUGGGACUAGUUCUGUGUGAAGUUCACACUACCAGGACGUGGCAAGUACAUUAUCCUUUAUUUGCCCAGAGAAUAGUGACAGCACAGACAGCAAUUUGAAUCCUGAACAGAAAAACACCUGAGGAAUUAGCUGAUUAGCCAUUUCCAUCCCUUCAAUCCUCAGUCCCUGUGCUGAGAAUGAUGCAGCAGUUCCUGGAUUAUCUCCUCCACAAAACUAUUUACUUUCAUCUUGGCAAUGCUGAUCCUGUGCCUAUACUUAGCUACAUUCUGGCAAUAACAUAAGAUACUGCACCAGGUACCUAUCUCUGAUACACCUGCUUAAUCCCAAAUUCAGACAACUCUCUUUGGAACAAGGCUGCCAAACCUAUUCCCUUUCACCACCCAUUCCAUUUAGGAUUUAUUCCCCCACCACAGGCAUGGGAAAUUAUACACAUGUGGAUGCUGGUCAGAUGAGAGAUCUCCUGCUGCUGCAGCAGAAAUUCACUGCUUAAUUUUCUAUCCACACAAAACCUCCGGACUGAUGCUUAAAACAAUUGUCAAAUUUCAAAUUUUUUUAGGAAGCUGGAAGGAUGCUGGCAACACUGCAGAAAAAACCUAAGCAACCCCUAAACCGGGGGGAGAGGGGGUAAGUGUGUGUCUGUGGAAUCAUUGACGUGAACUCUUACAGCUACUCACUCUUGCAGUGCGCAGAGGCAAUUCCCACUUACUGCACUGUGGUUCUCAACAGGAAGAUGCAGCGGCACCUGGACUCCUUUUGGGCUGCCACCACAGCAGGAGGUGCAUUCCCUGCCCACACCUCGGAGGGGCUGCCGGCACUGGGAGCUCUGGGGCCGCUGUGCUCGCCCUGAGCCGCACCUGCAGCGCCGGCAGAUGGAGCGAGAGGAGCCCGGACCGCACCUCCUCUGCAAGGUCACCCGAAAACAGAUUGUGCACAGUGAAAAAGCAUCUCCCUCAGCAACCAGGAAGCUAUCAGCCAAUAGCCAAACCAAAAGAAAAAAAAAGAAAAAAAGAAGAGAGAGUAAAGAAUCACGACAGUAAAAGAAAUGAACAACUAGAAUCUGCACGAAAGAAAAGCUCCGCAGCCCUUGGACUCUUGCCCUCUGCUGACAACCGGCCGGUACCUUCACCACAGCCUGUGCAGCUCAUUGUCCCCAAGCUGUAAACCCGGGCUCAGAUGUAUUUGCUACAAAAAUGUUUUCAGAACGCUUCAGCAGCAAAUCAGUCCAGCAGUUCAACUCUCCCCUUCCAGGAACCCCUCACCCUGCAGUGUGGUUUUACAGCAGGCUACAUGAAAAACCCAAUAGGAGGCUGGGGGAGGCAGCUGGUUACUUUUGUAAAAACAGUAAUCAGAUCCCUAAAAAACCUGACCCAUCAGCUCCAUUCCAUCUAUAUGCUGUGCUUCAGCACCCAGUGCACAAAGCAGCUUGAAUGCCAACAUAAACUUGCAAGAUUCUUCUAAUUGAAAGGCUUAACAGUAGCAAGAACACAGCCAGCUCCAACAGAGCCAAACGCUUGGCAUAAGUGCCCAAGAAUGCAGCUCGAUGCAGAUACAUGCAGAAUACUGAGUGCCACAGCAGCAGCACAGCAAACUCUGCAACGAAUGAAGAUGAAAUAAUAGGUGGAAAGUUCUGAACAGUCCCUGUGGCUUUCACUUCAAGGUACAGCACAAGUCAGGACAGGUACUGCGCUUACUGCAGAGAUUCAAUCACGAAUGCAGCAUCCACCACUGAGCAGCAGCUCUGAAGACAGACAGAACAGCCUUUGAAUAGUAUUGAAAAGAAGGACUGGAAUAAUGUGGGACACACGAGACUCGAAUCAGGCUUGAGGGAAUGUUUAAGAAGAGUUUUUCUAUUUAGGAAAUGAACACCACAGUGUGUGACCUUUCCAACUAAUCUAAGUCAUACACAAGUUCUAAAAUGAUGUAAACUCUUCCCAGCUUAUCAUGUACUCCCACAAUGACAGCAGCACUGGCAUGCUACUCAAAAAGGGAAGCAAACAAACCCCCAGCCCAAAGGAUGUAACAGGAAUGUUACCAGCACUACCAAGAGUGAGGUAUGCAAAAAACCAACACGGAGCUAGGGUGACUGCAGGGAAGACAGAAAGGCAGUAAGGAAAGGAAACGGGAGGGCAAGACAUUGCAGGAGAAAGAAAGGAUGCCUGGGAAAGCAAAUUGGCUUUUACUAUUUCUAUUAUUCUUUAUAUUUCCCAAGCUCCACAAUCUGUCAUGAAAGUACCUUCUUACAGAGUGUGAUUUGUACAAGGUUGGUUACAUCCCACUUCAUAUCCAAAGAAUAUGCAAUUCAACAAAGAGGUGGCUCAAUCAAACAACCCAUUUUGACCUUGUGUGAGUUCCAGCACUUCUGUUUUCUGUGACCACACAUUUUAGAGCUAAUACAGUUUCCCCUUCCAAAGGACCUGCAAGCAGCAUUUCUCCCAACAGUGUUUGACACACUGCCCAAUACAAAGUCUUUUCCAAGCAUAUGCUGCUAAGUCUCUUGGCAACUGGAGAUGUUCCAUUAACAGCCUUUUCUCCUCACUAAUCAGUAGCAAAGGCUCUGGAAGACUAAUACUUAGUAAGAAUCUCAGAGCUGCUGCAGAUAACUGGAGCACUACCCAAGCUACUGGUUCAAAAGGGGAAUGCUCCGUCCCGCAGAGCUGUCACUAAAGGGCAGGGAAUCCCCAGCAGCCAGGCUGAUGCAGGGAUGGGAGAGCUGCUAAAGGUCUGCACCCGCAGGGAGGGGAGACACGUGGGUGAACUGCAGCACAUUUAAGCAUUUCUAGGUCACCUUUGGCAAUGGUUUUUGUUUGCCUUUGAGAAACACCAUUGUUACAAGCAACAAUGCUUUGGAUUGGAGUUAACAUUAAACCCUUUGGCUGCAUGAUUAAAAUGGAGAGCUCAUGUAAAUAGCUUCCUUUACCCCAGCCCCAGAAGACUUGCCUCUGACCUUGGAGACUCUCAGUACAGUACAUGAAAUGUUAACACUUAACUCUCUCGCCAGCUUCUCUAAUCCAAAGUUAUUUUUAUUUACUUCACAGUGAUAACUGAAUGCAUUUUCUUUUAAAGGGAACAGGACAAUCAUGUUAUUCCAAAAGCAAAUCUGUUUUGAAAUGCAAUUUGUAUCUAAAAAUCAAACAUUAAAUAAAAUUUUCUCCCUCUCUCUUGCACACAGAGCACACACUGAAGUCUCUGUGCUGUGAGCUACGUAUCAAAUGCAAACUGUUUGAAGUACAGUUCCCCUUUUCCCACCACCAGCUUACCAUGGUGUUUGCAAGCUCCCAGAACGCAGCCCAGGCCCUGCAUCACCACUGCAACAUCUCCAAGUGGGACUUGGUUCAAAAUCCUGGCUCACAUACAUCUCAGUGCCUAUUGGCCAUGGGUGCUUCUGACGUGUCUGCUCCUGUCUCUGCAAGGGUCCAGAAUUACAUGACUGACUGGUUUUCCUUCUCCUCUCUGAAAGGACCCAGAUGGCAGUGCUUGGUGACUGCUCACAUGCCCCGAGGGCUGUCUCCUUGUGUGUGUCACCAAACAGCUCUAUUUUGUCACUUCUCCCUUUCAGCCAGAGAAAGCAAUUCCAAGGACUGCACAAUCCUCUCCAGAAAGCAGAGCACUGCCCAGCCCACCUGGCUCCUGGCACUUAGGCCAGCGACACCAGUAGAAAAUGUGGAGGGGCUCAGGAACUGUCAACUUACUGACCUCAGAGCUGCAAACACCAGCCAAGAACACGUGGGGAUGCCACAAUAGUCCAAACCCAUAGCACCGCCAGAGAUCUCUUCCCAACUGCAGCUCUGGAAACAUGCAAUAACGAGCUGACACUACAGAAUGCCUCAUCAGGUGGGAAGUGGCCCUUUCUUCCUAAUGGGGAAAGGUUGUAAGUGGAGGAAUCUCUAGGCCUGAACAUGCUUGCUCUCUGCCUUGGUAGGGCUUGGAUCCACGGCUUUUUGGAGCAUACCGCUAAAGCCUUUUCCAUUUGGCCAAGCUUUCCCAAAGGAACAAAAUAAAUAAAAAGACGGCUGGCAAAGUUAA